AAGACUAUAGACCUGCGGAGUACCUGCGGAAGGAUCAUUAUUGAAUUAUGUUUCUAAAUGGGUUGUAGCUGGCUCGUCAGAGCAUGUGCACGCCUGUUUGGACUUCAUUUUCAUCCACCUGUGCACCUAUUGUAGUCUUUGGUUGGGUAUCAAGGAAGUGGUCAGCCUAUCAGCACUUGCUGGAUGUGAGGUCUUGCAGUGUGAAAGCUUUGCUGUCCUUUACUUGAUCAUGGAGUUGUU
rnacentral:misc_RNA from 1 species